GAUGAACGCUGGCGGCGUGCUUAACACAUGCAAGUCGAGCGGAAAGGCUCCUUCGGGGGUACUCGAGCGGCGAACGGGUGAGUAACACGUGAGUAAUCUGCCCUUGGCUUCGGGAUAGCCACCGGAAACGGUGAUUAAUACCGGAUACGACCACUUCUCGCAUGGGAUGGUGGUGGAAAGUUUUUCGGCCAGGGAGGUGCUCGCGGCCUAUCAGCUUGAUGGUGAGGUAAUGGCUCACCAUGGCUUCGACGGGUAGCCGGCCUGAGAGGGUGACCGGUCACACUGGGACUGGGAACCGGCCCAGACUCCUACGGGGGGCAGCAGUGGGGAAUAUUGGACAAUGGGCGGAAGCCUGAUCCAGCGACGCCGCGUGGGGGAUGACGGCCUUCGGGUUGUAAACCUCUUUCAGCAGGGACGAAGCGCAAGUGACGGUACCUGCAGAAGAAGCACCGGCCAACUACGUGCCAGCAGCCGCCGUAAGAC
rnacentral:rRNA from 1 species